CCUACGGGAGGCAGCAGUGAGGAAUAUUGGUCAAUGGACGAGAGUCUGAACCAGCCAAGUAGCGUGAAGGAUGACUGCCCUAUGGGUUGUAAACUUCUUUUAUAUGGGAAUAAAAUGUUCCACGUGUGGGAUUUUGUAUGUACCAUAUGAAUAAGGAUCGGCUAACUCCGUGCCAGCAGCCGCGGUAAUACGGAGGAUCCGAGCGUUAUCCGGAUUUAUUGGGUUUAAAGGGAGCGUAGGUGGAUUGUUAAGUCAGUUGUGAAAGUUUGCGGCUCAACCGUAAAAUUGCAGUUGAAACUGGCAGUCUUGAGUACAGUAGAGGUAGGCGGAAUUCGUGGUGUAGCGGUGAAAUGCUUAGAUAUCGCGAAGAACUCCGAUUGCGAAGGCAGUUCACUGGACUGCAACUGACACUGAGGCUCGAAAGUGUGGGUAUCAAACAGGAUUAGAUACCCUUGUAGUC
rnacentral:rRNA from 1 species